AGUUCUAGCCCAUGACUGCAAAACGUGGACAUUCGCCGAGACACUAGAUAUAAAACAGAACACGUCUGGAAUUUUUCGUGGCGGGAAUGAUCACAGAGUCAGUGGCGGGGCGUGGACCUCAUGAGCGGGACCGACGAGAGAUCCCCGAAAGCGUGGGAACCUGCCGCCCAAAAUGACAGCGCCCCAAAAGAGAAUGGCGGCGUGCCAAGUUCAUCAGGCGUAGUGCUAGAGGUGAAAGAAUUCCGAGGGAUAGGACCUUCACCGGUUUUCUGCAGAUCCACGUGCGAGGGAGCUUUUUUGCUUCAGCGACACAACGCAACACCGAGUACCGGCGUUUUCGAAUUUUCAGCGGGCCAUGUUCGCUGUUGUCGCACGGUGCUUCGGUCAUGGAACGCUCAACGCGCGAAAGGCAACUGAGGAAGAUUCUAGAAAAGUGACGAAGAUUUUGAGGAUGCUGUAACAUCAUGGAUGGGAUAGUUGAACCAAGACACCAUUACAAACUCCUGGUAUGAACUGUGAUCAGGUAGAGCAGAGACUGGCUGAAACUUGUCCUGCUGAAUAUUCAGAGGUGGCUAGAUAGACAGUGAUUGGACCUAUCCUUAUGAAUAUGCUGAAAGAAUGCAUGGCUGACAAGGUUGCCUGGAGCCUCCCCCCUAUGAAUAUUCACCAAGGAGGUAUGGCAAGAGCUGAGCCUACAUACUGAAGUACAUGUACAUCACUCAGUUUUCGGUAAAGGACUACCUGCUUGAGCUAACUGAACCUACUAUGUAGAAAUUACUUGCUGCGUGUGGUCUUGGUAGCUGUCUUUCUGGAAAUGUGAUCUUCAGUUGAUCAAGCAGACAUUUGAUUCAUUGCGAAGCUUCCAAAGGGAUAUGACUGGUGAGCAGCAAAGUAAAUGAUUCGUGCGCACUGAAACUUGAAAAACGUCUCGGAAUGCUGCUCUUCUGAAUAGUGAUGACUAGAAUUGCAAUGACUCCCACCCCGUCUCCCAUUGGAAUGGUGAACGACAUGCAAGUCUCGACUCAGUGCUGACUUGUGGCUGGAAUGACAUUGAUUCCUGGCCUGCCUGAAAUGUACGUUUGAUUACGAUCAUGGAGUGUUGAACUUUUCAAUUGACAUUUGGGAUUUUGGCUGGAUUUUCGCUGGCACCAGUUGAAACCCAAAUUCUGCUGAACUUUGCAUCAAAUACUUGCAGCACUUGGAGGCUCAGAGUCCAGCUGUCUCCUCCCCGCCCCACGAACUAAAUUGACACUGAAACUAUGAUGGUGACAGAACUAAGCCCAUGCAGUGGGCCUGCAACUUCACGUGACUGGAUCUUGGAACUCUCAAAAUGAACCAGGUAUGUCGAGCAAUUUACAGAAACCUGUCUGCUUUAGACUGCAAUCUCGUGGCUGCACAGACGUACCGUUCAAGUCCCCUCUGAGGUUUUCAGAGGCAUUUGGCAGGAUGGAGGAAGGCGGAGCCCAUCCACUUUUACUUCACAUGGGGGCUUGAUGCUCCUUGAAAGUUCAGGUGCAACGGUUGUGGCAUUGGUGCACUGCAUCCGUAGUGACGGAUGUUUUAUGCUUCCUAGCAGGACUCCACAAGUCAAGGCUGACGUGGGAUCAAGAUCUAAACUGCCCCCCCUUGCACUUGAUGCGGCUGCAGACUUCCUAGGAUCCCUGGAGUUUACACAGUGCAUCCCCUGCUGAAGUUGUGCAUGGGAGCCAAAUUUCCGGAAUCUAUGGAUGGUGUAAUUUCUGACUGCCAUCGUCGCUGGAGAGAGGGCGCUGCUGGAGAAUGGCCCGAUCAUCUGAGCUUAGAGAAAGAUAACUUGGUGCAUUUGGGAAACUAGAUGGUACCAGCACAAGUCCACUCGGCCAUUGCAGAAACAAGAAGGAGGGGAAACUGCCAGAGAAGAGACUAACCCCGGGGCUAUGUGCAGGUGGAUUGUCUCCUGAGGGCACGGCCCACCUGAGCCAUGAUUGGAGUUCCCAUCAAGAUGAAGGGGUUUGUUGAAUGAGAUCAGUGGGUGUGUCCUCUGAGAGGAAUAGGGUGCCCAUUGAUAUGAAUGGGUGCGUCCAUUGAUGUGAGUGGGUGUACAUGUAGGCAUUGAGAUCAAUGGGCACGCCCACGUAAACAGAAAUAGAAGUAGUGUGGUCAAAAGUAACUGACAAAAUUAUUGUUGAAAAGCGUUCUUGGUUUAAAGAUGGUAAUGGGAUUAAACUCCCUGUGAAAUUAUGCUCUGCGGAAAGCUGUCAAUUUUGAAGAAGCCAAUGAAAGAAGGCCAUUUAAGCGAAGCAUCUGAAGAACGAUUUUUGGAAUAUUGCCAUUAGAAGCAAGUGUGAUACACGUACCACACACACACACACACGUGCCCGGUUACUGCAGUUCGUCAGAUCAGGGUGUGACAUCGCUUAACUGCAUUUGGCUGAACGGGAGAACGGCUUCAGACGCUGAAUUCAGAUGCAGUUCAAAAUAUGACUCUGGCCCCUUUUGAUCUGAAAUCAAAAUCCUAGAGUAUUGUUUUUCUCAGAAUCUGCCGUAUUCACUGAACUGAAACGUCAUCAGGUUUGUUCUCAGGCACCCUUCUUUAGAUUCUCAGUUAGUUUGUUGCCUCAAAGGAACACGAUGGACGAAUGAUAGACUGUCCCGGACCCUUUGAAAUAAAAUGAGUUUUACCCGUGCAAAAUGUUGACACAGGAAACUUGAGAAGAUUCAAGUGCGAUGAACACAAAGACAGGCUUAAUUUGUGGACAGGCUGAUGACGCGUUGUAAAAGGCUCCUCGCCUUCCCACCCCACAUUUCCUCUGGGUUUGUUUGGUGUCGAUAAUCUGUAGGUGAAAAUCAGGGUCAGAAAAAAAAAAAUGCUUUUGAUCGUUCAAAAUCAAAAUUGAAAAGCAAACGAUUAAUCGAUGGAAAAACGUAUUGGAAACUUGCAGCCCUAGGACAAAUGGAUGUUGAUGCUGUAGAGUUAUCAUUUAGAUGUACAGGAGAACCUGAUUACCAGUCUCUAUAACCUACCUGCUUGGGGUGGGGGGUCAUGUUGGCUAUACACUCCUUACCAUGAGUGCCUACUUUACCCAAUUAUUCUGUGCACCGUGUCAGGUGUUUGCCUCAGUGAUGUUCCCUGUGGUAUUUUUCAGCCCUAGAUAUGUGCAUGUGAACAAGGGCUGUCUUUGGACAGAACUGGGUGGAAUGUGUCCAUGUUGCUGUCAGUAGACUGGCUUUCUUGGACAGGUGCGGCUGGACGACCUCUGUAGACUAGUCAGCAGGCGUUCCCUUUGCGUGAGGUAGUCGGUUGUAAAGAUAAGAAAUACACCUUAAGGCGAUAUCUAUACAACCCACUAACUUUCCAAAAGGUUUGCACAGGCAUCGAUGGACCUGACAAGACGCGGCUUGGAUAGUCACAAACAUGAACAUCAUAGGAUCUGAUUGGACAACUCCUAGGUACUUUUACCAGUAGUGUGGUUAUUGAGGGAUCUGACUGGAUGGACUGGUGCAGCCCCAAAUACUGCUGUUAACAGCAAAAAACAGGUUACCAACCAGAGUGCCAUGCAGUGUACAAUCCUUGAGACUGGUCUUCCACUCAUUGUUUGCUUAGCGCAAAACUCUGCUAAGCAGUGUAUUGACUCUUAAUACAAGGCUGUUUGCAAAGCAACUGACUAUGGCUGGAAAUAAAGGUUCUAUGAAAAGUGGUUGCAGCUGCC